GAGGGUACAGCUCAAGUGGCAGAGCACAUGUUUAGCAUGCAUGAGGUCCUGGGUUCAAUCCCCAGUAACUCCU
rnacentral:tRNA from 1 species